rnacentral:rRNA from 1 species
GGAAUCUUCCACAAUGGACGCAAGUCUGAUGGAGCAACGCCGCGUGAGUGAAGAAGGGUUUCGGCUCGUAAAACUCUGUUGUUAAAGAAGAACAUAUCUGAGAGUAACUGUUCAGGUAUUGACGGUAUUUAACCAGAAAGCCACGGCUAACUACGUGCCAG